rnacentral:rRNA from 1 species
AAACUCAAAUGAAUUGACGGGGGCCCGCACAAGCGGUGGAGCAUGUGGUUUAAUUCGACGCAACGCGAAGAACCUUACCUGGGCUUGACAUCCCGAUCGCACUUUAUGGAAACAUAGAGGUCAGUUCGGCUGGAUCGGUGACAGGUGCUGCAUGGCUGUCGUCAGCUCGUGUCGUGAGAUGUUGGGUUAAGUCCCGCAACGAGCGCAACCCUUGUCCUUAGUUGCCAUCAUUUAGUUGGGCACUCUAGGGAGACUGCCGGUGUUAAACCGGAGGAAGGUGGGGAUGACGUCAAGUCCUCAUGGCCCUUAUGUCCAGGGCUACACACGUGCUACAAUGGCCGGUACAAAGGGCAGCGAUACCGCGAGGUGGAGCUAAUCCCAAAAAGCCGGUCUCAGUUCGGAUUGGAGUCUGCAACUCGACUCCAUGAAGUUGGAAUCGCUAGUAAUCGCGUAUCAGCAUGACGCGGUGAAUACGUUCCCGGGCCUUGUACACACCGCCCGUCACACCACGGGAGUCGAUUGUACCGGAAACCGGUGGGCCAACCUUCGGGAGGCAGCCGUUUAUGGUAUGGUCGGUAACUGGGGUGAAGUCGUAACAAGGUAUCCGUACCGGAAGGUGCGGAUGGAUCACCUCCUUUCUG